AUCGUAAAUUAUAUUUUCUUAGAAAUUUAUAUUGGAUUACUAAAAAUGUAUAAAUUUGUGAUGUUAGAAUGAAAAUAUUUGGUAACUAAAAAUGUAUAAAUUUAUAUUUAAUAAUUUGUAGUUACCAAAUAUUUUGAUUCUAACAUCACAAAUUUAUAUUUAAUAAUUUGUUAAAAAUAUAAAAAUUUGGUUAGUAAAUUAUAAUUGGUUAGGUGAAAUUUAUUUUUCACUAUUAAAAUGUAUGAAUUUGGUUAUUAUAAAUAUCCUUUUCAUUUUUAUAUCAAAAAUGUUAUUUUUCUCCAUUAAUUAUUUUGCAUCCACACAUUUACCUCCUAAAUAUUUUUGGCUCCACUAAUUGCCUCCAUUUUCCUAUUUCCCUCCCAAGUACUUUUGGGUUUAGCUCCAGAAUAACACUAAAGAUAAUAAUUUCGUGAGUGCUUCCUAUUGGUUGGAAAGGGAGUGUGCGGAUUACAAAUUUGGACCGUUGAUCAGUCGAAUCUAUUGGUCCAGAUUUAUUAAUCUGUGUCCGUUUCUUUCUCUAUCACUCUCAUAUGUUUCUCUCUUUCCAUCUCUACUCUUCUCUAUGUCUCCUCCUUAAUCACCGUGAAACAACUCCAAGGAUUAAGAAGAAGAAGACUUGAGAAGCUUUAGGAGAAGACUAGGAAUGAAGGUUCAAUUGGGUCUCUUACUCUCUCUCUCUUUCUCAGAUUCAGUUUUGUUUUUGAUUCUUCAGAAGCAUGAGUGCAACAGGCUUAGCAGCUAAGCAGACGGAGGAGGCAGACAGAAGAAUCACCAGAAAAGCAUGGGAAGAAGCACCGGCGACAAGAGAUGGUGGAGGUGGAGAAGACGAUGGCGGCAUGAGAUGGUGGGGGUGGAGCUGAGGCCAUCAACGCCGGAUCUGAAGAACCUAGGGUCCAGAGGAAGCUAGUGCUGGUGGUGUCGACGAAGCUUCACUGUGCUGCGGAUGAUUGGGGAUACUCGUAUAUAUUUCAACGACAACGUUCUUUGUAGUGAUGCUUAUAUACUGCUGGUUUAGUCAAGUACCGUGUACCACCAGCUGUUCUUCCACGUCAAGCUUGUUAUCAGAGUCAAUGUAUGAGCCAGCAGUUGAUAGCUAUGUGUGAAGCUCGGGGAUUCAAAGUGCCAGUACAUAUGCCUCACCCACCGCUCUCCAUCUACAUGUCUAUGUAUCAACGAGCAUAUGAACUACGAUUCUUCCCGAACAAGUAGAUGAAUCUAGAUAGCAUCUAAGACACAUGUUUUUGAAUUCUUACAGGAUCUCUACUAGAAAUCUUUUUCUCAUAUUUUUUUAUAUUUUGUUGUCUAGUUUGCACUUUUUAGAUUUAAGCAUUCGUUUGUAGACUACAAGAUCAACUAUAAUUUUACAAUGUAUCAAAAAUUUUGGUUUUUAUUA